rnacentral:sRNA from 1 species
GCGGAGGAAAAGAAACCAACAGGGAUUGCCCUAGUAACGGCGAGUGAAGCGGCAACAGCUCAAAUUUGAAAUCUGAUCUCUUCGAGGUCCGAGUUGUAAUUUGUAGAGGGCGCUUUGGUGUUGGCUGCGGUCUAAGUUCCUUGGAACAGGACGUCAUAGAGGGUGAGAAUCCCGUCUGUGGUCGCAUGUCUUCACCGUGUAAAGCCCCUUCGACGAGUCGAGUUGUUUGGGAAUGCAGCUCUAAAUGGGAGGUAAAUUUCUUCUAAAGCUAAAUACUGGCCAGAGACCGAUAGCGCACAAGUAGAGUGAUCGAAAGAUGAAAAGCACUUUGGAAAGAGAGUCAAACAGCACGUGAAAUUGUUGAAAGGGAAGCGCUUGCAGCCAGACUUGCUUGCAGUUGCUCAUCCGGGCGCUCGCCCGGUGCACUCUUCUGUAGGCAGGCCAGCAUCAGUUUGGGCGGUUGGAUAAAGGCCUCUGUCAUGUAUCUUCUCCGGAAGACCUUAUAGGGGAGGCGUAAUGCAACCAGCCUGGACUGAGGUCCGCGCAUCUGCUAGGAUGCUGGCGUAAUGGCUGUAAGCGGCCCGUCUUGAAACACGGACCAAGGAGUCUAACAUCUAUGCGAGUGUUUGGGUGUCAAGCCCGAGCGCGCAAUGAAAGUGAACGGAGGUGGGAACCCUCGGGUGCACCAUCGACCGAUCCUGAAGUCUUCGGAUGGAUUUGAGUAAGAGCAUAGCUGUUGGGACCCGAAAGAUGGUGAACUAUGCUUGAAUAGGGUGAAGCCAGAGGAAACUCUGGUGGAGGCUCGCAGCGGUUCUGACGUGCAAAUCGAUCGUCAAAUUUGG